AUAUCCCUGCAGGAUUUGUGAUAUGUAUUGUUAUAAAGCUAUCAAAAUAUCGGGAGUCAAGCCAUUUGUGGCGUGCAUGCCGAACUCGUUUCGGAUCCAUAAAGCUUAUAAGGUAGAUACCCACCUUAAUAUUCGGCUUUACUUGUCAAGCAUACACGGUCACUGCGGGGAUUUA
rnacentral:other from 1 species